UAUUUUUUCCCGUUUGCCUCGCUUCUCUCACACCCCUGGCUCGUCUGCUCCGCGACCCCAUUUUGGCGGAGAGGCGGGCGCGGUGGGGCCGGCGCCCACCCCGGCGCCCACCCCUGGCGUGCGGCGGCAUCUCCGCGGGCGCCCCGGGCCCUCCUCCGCGCCCCGGGCCGCCCUGGCGCUCAUUCAUUCGGCUGCGCCUUUCUCCACCCCUGCCUCCUUCCCCUCGCGUCUCCCCGCGCGUGCCCGCCGCCCUUUCCCGUGGCCUUUGGCUCCGGGCGCUUUCCCCUCCCGCGUCUGUGGUCGUCCCCCGACCCGGAGGUCCUACGUCCUUCCCUCCCAGCGGCCGCCUUCCCUCCUGUGCUGGUCCCCGGAUCCACACCCCCUUCUCCCUCGGACUCCACCAGGCCUCGCCCGGACACGCGGCCCUCCUGAUCACCUGCCUUGAACUUGGUGCCCCGAUACCGUGACACAUAGCACAUGGGAUCUCAGUUCCCUGACCAGGGAUAGAACACAUGCCCUUUGCAUGGAAGCUCAGAGUCUUAACCACUAGACCACCAGGAUGCCGGACCAGAUCUUGGUCUCCGAGUUCAUCGCCGAGACCACCGAAGACUACAACUCGCCCACCACGUCGAGCUUCACUACGCGGCUGCGCAGCUGCCGGAACACCGUCACGCUGCCGGAGGAGCACACCCGGCUCCUCUGCCCUCCAUAUUCUCCUGGAGUUUCCCAGACUCAUGUCCACUGAGUCGAUGAUGCCAUCCAGCCAUCUCAUCCUCUGCUGCUCCCUUCUCCUGCUUUCAGUUUCCUGGCAUCAGGGUCACUUCCAAUGAGUCAGCUCUUCUCAUCAGGUGGCCAAAGUAUUGGAGCUUCAGUGAAUAUUCAAGGUUGAUUUCCUUUAGUUUGAUUUGACUUUGGUUUGACCUCCUUGCAGUCUAAAGGACUCUCAAGAGUCUUCUCCAGCACCACAACUCGAAACUAUCAAUUCUUCAGUGCUCAGUCUUCUUUAUGGUCCAACUUUCACAUCCAUACAUGACUACUGGAAAAACCAUGGCUUUGACUUUACAGACCUUUGUCGGCAAAGUGAUGUCUCUGUCUUUUUUAGUGUGCUGUCUAGGUUUGUCAUACUUUUCCUACAAGGAGCAAGCCUCUUUUAAAAUACAUCUAAUAGUCUGUGACAGAGUUUAUUUAUUUAUUAUUUUUUUAGUUUUUAUUUUGGCUGUGCAGACUCUUCAUUCACCUGGGCAGGCUUUCUCUAACUGUGGUGCACGGGCUUUGUUGCUCCAUGGCACGGGGGAGUCUUGGUUCCCCAACCAGGGACCGAACUCGCAUCCCCUGUGUUGGAAGGCGGAUUCUUAACCACUGGACCACCAGGAAGUUGCAGUGGGGCUUCAUUUUAUCAACACAAUCAGCAAAAAUACGAUUUUUUUAUUCUUGUGACCAUUUGAUACAAACCUUUCUGCUUCAGGAUGGGGAAUGUCCUGCCCUAUCUUUAUUAUUUUUAGAGCCAUGCCUGUUUAUUGUAGAAAGAAAGGAGAACGUGAAAGGUGCCUGUAAUUCCAUCACCUGAAAAUGAUCAGAGUUAGUAUUUUGGGUUGUAAUUCUUUUUAAAACCACCGUUUAAGCGAUCCAACGGGUUUGGAUGAGGGAGAGCAUUUAGGAAAUGAGGGGUAGAUAGAGAGAGUCUAUAUAGUAGAUGUAUAGUUGUAAUUUCCCCAUGACGUUUGAGAGUACAACCUGGUUAGACCUCCUAACAAAAGUUAUCAUAAAAGGUUGAAUGGUUUUAUGCUUAUAGAAUCUUUGCAUAUGUUUUAAUUUCUAGUUCAUACUGUAAUGUGAAGAUACUUUCCUUAGCUCAUCACUUUAUUUUCCCUUUUUAAAAGAGAUUUCUCUGUAGCCACUAUCGAUUUGUUAGAUUUUUAUUUUUAAAAAAAUAUUUUCUGAAGUAUUUUUUAUAAAAAUGAAAAUUGUGUCUUCACAUUAAGGGCAGCCACUGGCUAGUUGGGGGGCUUCUCCUUCCUGGUGGGGGAGUGAAUAAAGAUCACCCUUUGACUUCGAAAGAAGUGAUAAGGGAGGUAGAAAGUAAAUUGGCGUGAGAUUAACUAGAGAGGGAAACUUUUUAUUCUAUUCUCAGCUAUUUAGGAGAAAGAAAAACUUUUUUUUCUUUUUUAAUAUGAGAAAGAAAAGUCCUUUUGCAUUCUGGAAUGCUUUCAAAAGCAUUGCUAUUGGUGUUAAAUUCCAUUUGGAUUUGGAAUUAUGAAAUUUUUAAAGUGUUGAAGUAAAAUUAGUUCUCUGUGUUGUUUUUUGACAGUGUACAAACAGCAGUAACUUGAACUAAACUACCAUUACAUCAUCGCAGAAACCAGUAUAAAAGUGGUUAUUUACUUUGAAAUGGAAUUGAAUGUUCAGAAGUGCAGAUGCGGUGGGUGGGUUUCUGGGCACACGGGGUCUCCUUUCUCAGCGAGACGGGAGGGGGUGAGAGUGUCCCCACUGGAGCUGCUGCCAGUGGCGAUGGGUGUGGAGACGCGGGGUGGCCCGGGCAGUGUCUGCAGCAAAAGCCCCGGAAAAGCACAGAGCAGAAGCAAGAAGUUUCACCGGAAACUCCAAUAAAUCAGAUCAUUUGAUCAAGAGUUGCUCAAAAAAUUCCAGAUAGAGGUCCUGAAAUAAUAUGACCCAAUCAAAAACAUGACCCCCCAAACCAAGCCAAACAAACGAUAAAUUGGGUUCAACAUAUUCUUGAUGGCUUCAUGUUUAAUUUUCUAUUUGAGUCAGUUGAUAGGCUCAAGAAGGGAGGUAUGUAAAGACAGGCUGGAUUCUCAUGUGAUAAAAAAUACACUGUAGAUUCAUUUGAUAGAAUCCUAUACUCUCUCCCAUCCCACAUACAGGUAUAAAUACUCAUUUAACAUGGGGAUGGAGACAGAUCCAUCGUAAAGCUUACCCAUAGGACAGAUUCCUUACCGCUGUAAAAAUCUCAACUGCUCGGGAAGGCCUCCCAUCAGACUGUGUGCGUGCUCAGUCAUGUCUAACUCUGUGCAGCCUAAUGGACUAUAGCCCACCGGGCUCCUCUGUCCAUGGGAUUAU